GAAGGAGAAGGGACUCUUCAACAUCAGACACCUGGCUGGGUCCCAUUCAGAGGUCCUGCUUUGUAGACUUGGUGACGUUUGCUUGGCAGUUACCAGCGAGGUGACCAACCUCCGAUCCAUGGUGUCCUACUCUGCAAUUGCCACUCUGGGAAAGCUCUUUGUGACCUUGAAGAAGGACAUGGACUCUUGUAGGAGGAGGGGUUGGGGAAGGCAGUCUAGGGUUGCCAUGGGAAACAGCAGUUGUAUGAGUUCUCCACCCCCUUUUGUAAGAGAAUUGUACCCUCCCCCUGUCCUGUCAGUUAUUGUUCAAGUCUGCCCCUUAGCCUAGAAUCUUCUCUGUUCCACGUUUUCCCUUUGGUUCUUCCACCAAGAACACUCCUUUCCCUUUUCCCCACUGGUUAAUGUUAUAUUUCCCCUCCCUUUAGCCUUCUCCCGAUUGUACCCUCGAAUGCUAAACCCUCCUACCGCUACGCAGUAAAAGAAUCCUCACCCCGCCCUUCGGGGCUCUCGGAAUCUGCCUCCCUUCUGCUUCGUUGUCUCCCUGUUUGCCCCUUCUGCGACCCUUCAAUAAACGAGCAGGAUUUCAGCAG